ensembl:lncRNA
CUUGACACGUGUGACAGUCUCACUGCUGACCUUCUCCCCAAAAAACCAACCCACGCUGUGGAGGAGGAUGCGGUGGCCUGGAUUUCUCACCUUGCACCCCCUUUUUUCUGUCGGCUUAUUCAGCAGCUGAGCUUAGCUGCGGGAAGGAAGGGGAGGGAGAGGCAGCAGCUCCAUAUUAAUGGGUUCCUUAAAGAGCAGCCUGGCACAGGUGGGAAAGUGUCAGUACAUCUAAUUGUUGCUCAUAGGUAAACAGCUCCAGAUCUCUGAUGAACCUUUCUACCCUUUCCUGAAACUCUUCUAUUCCAAGACCAACUUUUUGAGAUGAUAGCACUGAUGUGCAAGCACGCCACAAGUUCUACAAUGGGUUGUAGCUGUCAGAGUUAUGUAAUAAAGCUUAAUUUAAUCGCAUUGAAGAAGAACAAGGCUAUGAACUCCACCAAUUACCAGGGCUAUUGUGUCUGGAGCUAAGAUCCAGGUCUCAUCCCAAGGACUACUCAAGAAUCACAGUGGUGGGAAUUAAGCUCAGGGUGUUCCUUAUCCCAUCACAGCUGGAUGAGUUCUAUCUUCCAGCUAUUCCUUUGACGUUCUGUUCCAUAAGUGAAGUUGAAGGGAAGAAAUUCAGUCCCCUCCUUCUGUCUGACUCAUCAUGGUGGAGAAGUUCUGACACCAGAGUCCAGCCCCCCGGAAACGAAGCGCUGUCGCAGAUGCAGUCUGCCUUUAAAAGAAUGGCUUUGAAAACAAAACAGAAGGAACCAUUUUAUUGUUACACAAAACUUCAGUACACUCACUUAUCAGCUGAGAAGCUCUGGUCUUGGCCUCUUCAGAAGACAGCGGUGAAGGUAGCUUCAGAUGAAGUACUGAAACAUUCUGUCCUUUUCAACAUUGUGAAGAAAUGCUUGAAUACCUGACAUUUGGGUGUUCAUUUAAUAAUUUGUCUUAAACUAGAGCUGAAUUUCUCUCCUC